AACAACCAUUGCAAAUUUGCAAUAUUGCAUAGUGCCGUGACUGCCGUCACCUAGGGCUUUCACAGCACUAACACUCCCAAGUCCCAAGUCCCAAGUCCCAAGUCCCAAUUCCCAAAUCGAAGCUGCUCUCUGCCUCUCCGGCCUCUGCCAGUCCGCCGCGCUCUACGUCUCCUGUCGGCUGUGUCCUGCCGUGCUGGUUCAUCGCUGCCGAGUGUCGAAGACGAAGCACCAAGAUCUCACUAGUUCAUCGCUGGUUCAUCACUGCUUAUCUCUGGCUCACUUAGGGCUUUCACAGCACUAACACUCCCAAGUCCCAAGUCCCAAGUCCCAAGUCCCAAUUCCCAAAUCGAAGCUGCUCUCUGCCUCUCCGGCCUCUGCCAGUCCGCCGCGCUCUACGUCUCCUGUCGGCUGUGUCCUGCCGUGCUGGUUCAUCGCUGCCGAGUGUCGAAGACGAAGCACCAAGAUCUCACUAGUUCAUCGCUGGUUCAUCACUGCUUAUCUCUGGCUCACUUAGGUAAGUGCUCCUCUGUUUUUGGCUCUGUGUCUCUGGCAUUAAAAUGGGCCAAGAUCGACUAGGAAAUUUGUUAUCCUGAAUUGAUAAGGGGACGAAAUCUGAGCUUCCAAUUGCAAACUCUAACUGUUGUAGUAGUUUAGAUUAGGUGUUAUAUAACAUAAGCUUUGUAUUUUAUACACAAGAAGCUCUCUCCAGUUGUGCAGCCUUUAAAAAUUAAGGCCUUGGGGAAAAAUUCCACCUUUUA